rnacentral:lncRNA from 1 species
AUGGUAGCGGGAUACGGUUCCCUUGUGUCUACAACUACCACAUCCGAGGUAAGAAAAGUUUUGGCGACAGAAGCUGCAUGCUCCACGCAGCAUCUAACCACCUGUUGACAUUUUGCACAGGAGAUGAAUAAAUCCCGCAUUCACAAUCAAGUACAUGAAGACAGAUAUUGAAUGCGAGGGUUAACUGAGCAGCAAGAAAAUAUGAUUAUUUUCAAGGUGUUGCUCUCAGAUAUUUGCGGGCCACGUACCUUUGAUGGGUCUAAGAUUCCUGCACCCAUCAAGUCCUCAUAACUAUCUUUCGCUGCAUUAUAUCCAUAUCUGUUGUCAUUGGAGGAUAGAAUCUGCAAGUAGAAUAAGGCGUUAUAUUCUACUCCUCUAAAGGAGAAAGGCUCAUCCUUCAUCCUGUCUCCCAGCAUUAUGUUCAUAAUUUUUUCCAUCACGUCGCCUUUUAAUCGAAAUAUUCGGUUAAAAAAAAAAAUCGGUGUUUGUGUCGUUAUAGAGGAAGAAAUGUGAACCUUCUGAAUGACGACACUGCCAUUAACGCCUGCAUUUUUAGCUAUGAGCUUUGUGGGAUAGCUUAGAGCCCUCUUGAAGAUGUCAGCACCAACCUGCAGAAUAUAGGCAUAAAUAGCCUUAAUAGAGAUCUAGAAGUAUUUAAGGGUUGCAUGGUUCAAACAAUUAUAAAAACUGGUACCUUCUGCUCUUCAUUAUCCAGAGAAUUCUUAAUAUCGUCCACCUUCAGAGAUAGCCUCAACAAGCUACAGCCACCUCCAACAACAACACCUUCUUCAAUGGCUGCCUGCAAUACAAACGCUCAAUUCUGAAACCUCUGGCAAUUAAUCUGCCAGGAAGCAUGCAUGGUCUCGGAAUUACUUUGGUCGCAUUCAGAGCAUCCUCAACUCUCAGCAUUUUGUUCUUCAACUCGACUUCCGUCGGUGCACCUACCUGUCAUUUGUUGUUUAGAAAAUAUUUGUACCUGAGAUGAUGCAAGAGCUCAGAAAUAGGGCGCCGCAUAUGUUGGAAUGGAUUGGCUUGCCACCUUCGACAUGUACCGCCAUUACCUGAAGAAUCGCAACCCCACUGGAUAGUCUUGCAAUUCUCUCGCUCAGUAUUUUCUUCUUGAACGUCUCUUUAGUGUUCUGAAACAAGAAAGAGAUGUGUAUUAAGACCAUGCUUUAAGAAAAUUGCCAAGAGAAGGCUACAUGUAGGAAUCUACUUGAUUCAAGUCCAGCAUAUUACUUGGGGCUACUUGAUCUGCACAAUAAAUUUCAUAUUAAUUUUCCUUUAAUGUCUAGCCCUCAGGACCCUAGAUUGAGACCCUAUCCUGGUUCAGCAUGCCCAUAACCACGAGUCUUGUUCUAGGGGAUGGAAUUGGAGACUAAGGUCUUGAUAUGAUAACCAGAUAGCUGACUUAGAAUUUAAUGCUGAGUGCAAACCCAAAUUCUAAGACAAAUUACUAGUCCCCACUGUUUUCAUUUACAACCAGUUUUCUUUUACAUUAAAAUUUGUAUCCUGCUUCGCAUAUCUUGCACCAUUUAUUUUAAUUUGCACGCCACAUUUAUUAAUAAAACAUGCAAAAAAGAAUUAUUUCUUCAAGGAGCUUUGAAAUCUCAUACUAGUGUUACCUCGAAUAAUGCAAAUCAUGAACAAAGAAACUAGCAUCACGAACCUCAACAAGACUUGCAAUCUGCUUUAUCCGCUUCUCCACAGAAUCUUGUGUGCUUCCAUCAGUGACCAGCAAGGUAGAAUCUUUACUUACAACCACCUUUGACGCGGACCCUAACACUUCCUUCCCGACCUUCUCGAGACUAAGUCCCACAUCAUCUCUAACCACAGUACCUGCUCCGCAGACAGAAACCACAGGAGAAGGGACCAGGGCCCCAUCAGACGAAAACCCCACACCACACUCCUCCAUGUUUCCUGAGAAAAAGUCAACUGGAGGCCACAAGAAAAUCAGGAUAUAUAUCUCUUAUUGCAGAUAAGUACCUCCGGUCAGGAUGGCGAUGUCGUCAAGGUAGUGACUCUUGCGCUCUCCAAAGGCAGGAGCUUUAAUGACGGCCACCUUCAGCAGACCUCUGAGCUUGUUUCUGAUUAUUGGAGCCAGCGCUUCCUGUUCGACACUCUCCCCGACUAUCAAAAGAGGGUAUUUUUCUCUGACUGCACCGUCCAAUAUCCUGGACAUCUCUUUCGCACUUGUGAUUUUUUUAUCAACCAAAAGCACCUGCGCGAAUAAAACGGAAUAAAUGGAUUCAUAGUUCAUAAUGAUCAUGCGAGAUGCAAAUGAUAGCUCUCACCUGACCUUGCAAUUCUCAAAUUCUGCCGUCCUGUUUGCUCGAUCUGUGACGAAGUAAGGCGACAAGUAACCGCGGUCGAACUGCAUUCCUUCUACAACUUCCAAGGUGUUCUCUGUGGACCUGCCUUUCUCAAUCCUCACCACGCCCUUCCUCCCAACUCUUCGCAGGGCCUCCGCUACCAUGUUUCCUACUGAGUAGUCGUUCCCGGCGCUCACCGCAGCAACAUCAGCGAUUUCACUGUCUUCAACCUGCAGAAUGCGAAUGCUUCAGCUUCAAGUGUUCCCCUACAAGAUGGACGAGAGACUACUAGACGCAGACUUUCAACAGCAUAAGCAUUUUCCAAGAAUGUUGAUAAAGGAAGCCUGCUGGCAAAUUUUAACCCACGGGUCAGAUACUCUUAGUUGUAAUUGACUUGGAAUUAUGCAAUGUGGGGGGGGGCACUGAGAACAUAUUUAUUUACUUCAUGUCAAGGGGUCAGUACGCACUGCAGUGGUGGAAUUAACCAGAACUCAGUCAUCUGGC